CAUCAACUCACCCCCGCGCGCGCACACACAGUAACAGGCGCUAGGGAGGGGAGCGGGAGGGGUGCGAGGAGGACGAUUCUCGCCUUGCUCCGGUGCUUUGCUACGAUUUGGGAGUUUUCAGUCCACUUCACACAUCCAUCGGAAAAGGGGCCCUUGUGCGUGCGUGUACACACGUGCGUCCGUGCGUGCGUGAGUGUUCCCAUCGCGUUGCUUGCUUCCGUUUGGCUCUGCUCGGCUUCAGUUGCAUACCUCUGCAUACGGUAGAAAAAAAGCAAAACAAAAUUUUAGCACUAAGAAAACGGGAACCGCUUAACUAAAGAACGUAAAAUUUGUACAUUGUUUGUUUGCCUGUCCUGUAUACAAGCGUUCCUUCCUUCCGUACGGUGUGUGGCCUGAUAUUUAUGAAACAGAACGCAACGCCACACGCUGUAGUGUUUUCUCGCCACCGUCGCCGAAAAUUUCGCAUAAAAAACCACAAUUAGGUAGUGGUGGAAGCUGUACCACGCAAUACCACGGCAAAAGAGGAGUGCGGGAGCGGAAAAAUUGUGCACGUUUCCUACCGUAAUAACGUGUGUGCGCGCGUGUGUUUGAAUGUGUGUAAAGUGUGUGACGUGACUGUGUUAGUGGGUGUGAUUUAUAGAGACUGAAAACUCACAGCAGCAAACAACACACACACACACUCGCAACAAAAUGGUGAUAGGCGAGCAGGUGGAAGGUGGCGAGGCGAUGCCUCCCUCGCCCCAACAGUUCCCGCCACAGAAGGCCACGAUAGAGAACAUCAUGAGCGGCAUAGAGAACACCGGUGCGGUCAAGAUGAACAAUCAUAGGAAAAAGCUGCGCCAGAGAUUUGACAUAAUAAAAAAGCUCGGCCAGGGCACGUACGGUAAGGUGCAGCUCGGCAUCAACAAGGAAACGGGACAGGAGGUGGCCAUCAAGACGAUCAAGAAGAGCAAGAUAGAAACGGAAGCAGAUCUCAUUCGGAUACGGCGCGAGGUACAGAUUAUGAGCUCCGUCCAGCAUCCCAACAUAAUACACAUUUACGAAGUAUUUGAAAACCGCGAAAAGAUGGUGCUAGUCAUGGAGUUUGCGGCCGGGGGCGAGCUGUACGACUACCUGUCCGAGCGCAAGGUGCUGGCGGAGGAGGAAGCGCGCCGCAUCUUUCGCCAGGUGUCGACCGCGAUCUACUACUGCCACAAGCACAAAAUUUGCCAUCGCGACCUGAAGCUCGAGAACAUCCUGCUGGACGAGCACGGCAACGCGAAGAUCGCCGACUUCGGCCUGUCGAACGUGUUCGACGAGCAGCGGCUGCUGGCCACCUUCUGCGGGUCGCCGCUGUACGCGUCGCCCGAGAUCGUCAAGGGCACGCCGUACCAGGGACCGGAGGUGGACUGCUGGUCCCUGGGCGUCCUGCUCUACACGCUCGUCUACGGCGCGAUGCCGUUCGACGGCGCCAACUUCAAGCGGCUGGUGAAGCAGAUCAGCCAGGGCGACUACUUCGAGCCGAAGAAGCCGUCCCGUGCGUCGCCGCUGAUCCGCGAGAUGCUGACCGUGUGUCCGUCGCACCGGGCCAACAUCGAGCAGAUCUGCAACCACUGGUGGGUGAACGAGGGCUACGAGGAGUCGUGUCUGGAUCUGGCGGAAGAGCUCGCCAACCAGACGCCGGUCCGGCUGGAUGUGCUGCUGUCGCUCGCGCCACCGUCGGUUACCGCCGACCAGCUGCUCGUUGGCAAUGGGCAGGAGGACGCGAAGGCGAAGGAUCGCAUCCAGCGCAGCCACUCGAUGGGUUCGAUCGUCGAGAUGGGCGGCACGGAGGCGGAACGGCGCAUUCUCGAUAUGGUGGCGGCGGGCGGUGAGGCGGCCCUGAUGCCGUCGCCCACGCGCACCAUCACACCGGCAGAGGCGGCGACGGCGGCCGGUGUCGGCAGCCCGCAGGCCCAGACGAAGCGCAAGCUCGAGACGACGGUUUCGACGGAGAAUGCAACAGGCGCGGUAAAGAAGAAGGAUAAGGCGGACCCACCGUCCCCGGCCCAGGCCCGCAUCCCUGAGGACAUGGACGUGGAGGAAGCGGCCGUGGCGGGUACGCCAACGCAAGCAGCUGCAGACGAGCAGGCGGCCGAACCGGUCCAACCGACGGCGCAGGAGGAGGCCACCAAACCCACCGACUCGGCGGCACAACCGAACGAGAGCAAGUUCGAGGCGCAGGAAGUGCUGGAAGACCUGCAAAACCUGGAAAACAUGUGCGACGAGCUGUUGCUGGAGGCGGCCCACACCCAACCACCGCCGUCCGAGGCCGGCGCAAACGGAGCCACCGAACCGCCACCCUCAUCGCCGCCCGUCAAAACCGUUUCGAGCGUGCGGGCGAAGCUGGAAAAGCUGGAAAAGGGUGAAAUCGGCGCGAAACCGGCCGUCCCGUCGUCGACCGCCCCCCUGCCCACGGUGCGCAAGGUGUUCGGCAAGAACAAAACGACCGAUCUCACGACCGCCAUCAACGAGGUGAACGCGCGGAAGGGCGAACCGGCACCGUUGGCCGGCAGUGCGCACCGUUCCGCCAGCAGCGUGGAGCGCAAGAACAGCCUGCCGGACGAGAGCCUGGCGCGGACGGCCGAACGGCGCAAGUCGCGCAUCCUCGAGACGGCGGAAAAGUUCCAGCAGCUAAACCAGCAGCAGCCGGGCGGCGGGGAUAAGUUUAAGAAGUUUGUCCUGCCGGGCGGCGGCGUACCGACCGUCGGCAACUACAAGAAGGAGUUCGAGCGCAAGACUGGGCUGAGCACGUCGUCGACCUUUACCAAACCGCCGGCCACCACCCCGCAGGGCGCGACCACCGGUGAAGGCGAGUCGGGCGGGUCGGCGCCAAGCACACCGCCUGCAUUUGCCGGUUCGGCCAAGAAUCUCGCAACCUACCAGCAGCAGCAGCAGCAGGGAACCGAUUCGCCACCCCUGGCCGCGACCAAAUCGGACGACGAGGUGAAGGAGAGCGAUUCGAAGAGUUCGGUCGGCAGCUUCUCGCUGGAGGACGCGCGCCGCUCGAUGGAGAACUCGAUCGCGAUGCUGAGCCGGGCGAAGCCGAACGACUCCGCACCGUCCACGCCGACCGCGAUCGAUCAACUGUGCGCGCGCACCGAGAGCGUCUCGAUGAUGGAGGACAGCGAGCGGGAGCGCAAGCUGAAGAAUGCGCGCGAAAUCAUCGGCAACGCGAUCCCGAUCGGGCGGCUGCGCAAGCCGCCGAUGCCGUUCGGUGCGAACGGCCGCUCGACGACCGGGACGCUCGGCAUCAACAAGCCGUACCGCAUGGGUUCGGAAACGCCCGAGCCGCGCUGCGACACGAUGUCCAUCCCGAGAAAAGUAUCGAUCGGAAGCAUCCCGAGCCCGCCCAAGGACGAGACAAAAACGUCGCACGCCGAAAUCACGCUCAAGUCGGCCACGCUGCCACGGCGAAAGCUGUCCAAACCGCUCGAACUGCAAGGCGAUGCACAAUCGAAGCCGGACCACCGUAUGCAGUCACCGCUGCAGCCACCCGCCUUCGCGCCGAUGCGCUUCUCCACCGAGGUGCAGCACCAGAUGCCGGAUCUGCGCAGUGCGCCGGUCGGGCGCGAACAUCCGCCCGCCUUCGCACCGAUGGCCCACCAGCACCAGCAGCAUCUGCACCAUCGGGCCAACAGUCUGGAGCCGCAGGGCAAGGAGCAGCCGGCCGGCGCGGGUCCGCAAAAACCGCCCACAUAUCAACGGACGGCGUCCGGUGCGUACGGUGGCGUUCCAUCGCCUGCCCAGCUCGGUCGCGCAUCGCUGUCGCGCCAGUCGACGAACGAGUCGAACGACUCGGACAACACGCUCUCGCAGGGUCCGAUGUCGACGAACGCGUCCGGCCUAAUGUCCGGCACGGUCAGCACCAGCGGCAGCACCACGAUGCCGAUCAAGAAGAGCCCCCGGGAGUACAUCAUACCGAUCGCGGUCGAGGGCGGUGGUAUUGUGACGCCGCGUGCCAACAGCCUGGAGCCGUCCGAAUCGAACGCGUCCUCGACCGGUGUGUCCGGGGCGGCCGGUGCUGGGUUCGGUAUGAAGCCGCGCCUUGGCCGACCGCGCCGUUUGGGCUCCCUGCUGUCGGAGCAUGACGGUGAGCCGGGCGAGAUUACGUCCUUCCCACGACUGAACAGGCAUACCUCGCUGGGACGUGAGAGUGAUACCGAGGAGCCGAAAUUCCACAUGAUGCAUCGGCUCAGGAGCACACGACCAUCGAAGAGGGGCACGGCAGACCCGAACGAUUCGGCCAGCUCGGGCGAGGAGGACGACGACGAUGGUUUUGAAAUACUGACGGCGGAAAACCUGUUCUCCACGCUGCUGUCUCGCGUUCGUGCACUAACCAAUCGUCUGAAUGUGAACGAUGUCAACUCACCGCGCUUCCCGGCGUCACGCUUCAUGAGCAAUCUGCGCCAAACGCAGGCACCGUUCUGGCAUCAUCAGGAUCCGUUCGGCAGGAAUCUCGCCGACGGUGGCAGUGCGGCCAACGCCUGGCGGCACAGCAUGUCCCGGGACCUGAGCACGGACAUCGAUUCAAUGUUUUCGCGUAGCGGAGCCACACUUCCAAGAGGCACUAGACUCAGAACACAAAGUAAUCAUGUAACGAAUAGUAAUAACAGCAACAACAGCAACCAAAACCACUACCAUCAUCCCCAUCAUCAGCAACCGCCACCAGUGCCACCAAACAGCAGCAGCAACAGCAUCCGCAGUAGUUAUAACAAUAGAUAUAGCUAUCAUCAUCAACCCGCCUCAUCUAACCCUGCCCCCAGCUCCACCUCCUCCUUCUACAAGGAUCUGGCAUCCUUGGCCGCGUACGGUGCGAACGGUACUGGCGGGGCGGCCGGUAGUGACAGUCGCGACGUCAGCCUCUCCAGCGGUACCGGUGGUGGUGGUGGUGGUGGUGGAGCGGGCAGCAACGAUGACGAAAGCAGCAUAUCCAGCACACUCAGCACCAAUGGCAACGGGUACCGCCAUCAGCCACUGGCCGCGACGAUGACCGGCGGCGGUAAUGGUGACCUCGGCGACCCGGGCACGGGCGAGGAAAAUCUCGAUCUGCGCGAUCUCGAUCUGUCGCAGCUGCGACUGUCGAAGCGCGAUCUGGAAACGCUGUCCAGCAUAACGCCCGCCCUGUCCCAGCGCGUGCAGGAGCAACUGUUGGCGCAGCUUCCCCCCCAGCAGGCCCGCAAACUGUCCCGCACACUGUCCAUGCAGGGCGGUGGAGGAGGCACAGGGGCCGGUUCGUUGCCAACGGGUGCAGCGGCGGCUAACCAGCGACUGUACAGGCGAAGCUACAGCAACAGCUCGGGUAAUCGAUCGCUCGAUGCAACGGCCGACUACGGAGCGACGAGCGGCGGCGUCGGUGAGUUCAGCCGUCGCCGGGCAGGGAGUCAGCCGCGCGACAUCCUGUCGCCCCCGCCGGCCUACCAAACGUCAGCGCCACUGUACGAGAAGUACGCCCCGUACGGUACGAGCAUUCCAGCGGCCGGUGCCGACUCCUCGUCCGGUAUGUCCUCGUUUGUGCGCGACUACGACAGCAACACACGGAAGGCGCUCUCACCACACACCACCACCACCACAUUGACACGUGCUACCGGGUCCGCUCUCACUACAAGCACAACCACAACACCACCACCACCACCAUCAACUCUCCGUUACACCAGCAGCAGUGCGGGUGGCGAGACGACCGCUGCGCCGACCAAGCGCUUGUCCCGGUUUCUGCGGCCCGACUUCUUCGACACGCCGCCGAAAGAGCGGGACGCACCAACCGAUCCGCCCGAGCGGGACGCUCGCACCUCCCCGUACGGUGGAUCGGGCGGAUCGGGGGUGACGUUGCGCGAGGGUGCCACCGGUAGGCAGCAGCGGCGCGAAAAGCUGGCCAACGAUACGAUCACCGAUCGGUUGAGCUACUUCCUGGAGAAGUACGGCAAACCGGACGACGACGGAGGGGUGACACCGAUCGGCGAUCGGGGCAGGCGUAGCGUUUCGCGUUCGCGCGACCUCGAGCCGGAAGGUGCGGCGAGCCAGCCGGAACAGCGGUACCGGACGCCGGAGGAGACACUGUCGAUACUGCAGGAGCAGCUGCAAGAUCUCACCAACAUGACCUCGCUGGCAGCUGGCAGUCAGAUGUCGAAGCUGUUGAGCGGUGGAGGCGGUGGCGAUGCCAUCGUGACAUCGAACGGGCCAGGGACUGGCGAAUGCCAGCUGCCUGGAUGCACAGAGUGUGAGGGAAAGCAGGAUGGGAAAGCUGCCCAGGUGGCAAACGAAUCUAGCGAAACGAAAGGUACUUCCGGCACUGUUGCAACAGAAUCGGCAGCUGCAGCAGGUCCAACGAAAAAGAUAGUAAAGGUAAAGAAGGUCAAGGUAGUGAAGAAGACAACGACAGGGGCGGAAAAUGGAGUCACAACAGCGGGAGGUGACGGUGAAGCUGCCGCCACCACGUCGGUGGUGAAGAAGGUUAAAAAAGUGGACUCAACUCCAACGGACGCGUCGGAAGGCUCCAACCCCACUGUGCCAGUGGUUAAAAAGGAAUCCAAACUAAUGCGCCCCAAGUCUUAUCCCUACAAGGAGCCGGGACAGGAAGUUGCCAAGCUGUCCGUGGGUGGUGACAUUGCGCUUGAGGUGAAUGGGAAAGCAGGUGCUAAUGCUGCAACUUCCCCUGCAAACGUGACACAAGAUCCCUCGACCGAGACCCAAACGACCCAAACGGCAGCUGUGAACGGCACAGCGAGUGUGAGUACGGCGGCGAGUAAACUGGCACGCCCAAAGAGUUUCCCCUCGUCCAAGCUAACGCCACCGAAGGAACUGAAGCUGCUGAAAUCCCCCGCCAGCAGUGAGCGGGAUGCUGCCAGUGAGCAGAAGGCGCCACCAACGUCAAAAGCCGAACCUGCCACCAACGGAACGCUGGGUGCUCCGGUGCAAGAGGUGGACGGACCAUCGGCCGCCACCAGUCCGCCCAAGAGGGUGAAGAAAGUUAUUCGCAUCGUGAAGAAGGUUACCAAAACGACCGAUGCCAACGGGAAGGUGGUCAUUACCACCACCACGAUGCCGGCCGAUGGAGCCGCCGGACCGGUGAAAACUACCAAAGAAACGGUCGGCAAAACCGUUACCAUCAAGGAGCAGGGUACGGCGGGAACUGCAGCAGAUGCCGGCGAGAAGCAAUCAAAGGAGAAAUCAAAAUCACCCGAAAAGAAACCAAAGCAGGGCUUUCUGGCCAGCAUCGGGCAGCGGUUUGAGAAGUUCCGCGACACCAGCAAGAGCAGCAAGGAAAAGAAAGCAGCGGCAGCAGCGGCAGCAGCCUCCGCCACGACGACCUCCACCACAUCAGGAGAAACCCUGCCCGAUACGGCCGUCCCGGUGAUGGUGCCCGGCACUACGCAGAUCGUGGACGGCGUUACGCCGGACGUGCUGGUAGGCAAACCCACCGAGACGGCCAACGCGUCCAAGAAGGAUAAAAAGAAGGGUGGCAAAGCGGCGGGCACCACCGAGGACAAGACGCCAGCCGAUGGCAGCUCCAGCACCAUCGCGAAGAGUGCCACCGGAGGAGCAGACCAGAAGCAGGCCCGCAAGUCACGCAUCGACACGGUGAUCAGGAAUUUGCGCGAGCUGUCCGCCGGACCGAAGCUGCCGGAGGUAACCGAGUCGAAGCUGAUCAAGCGCGCCGUCAGCGUGGAGGAGAUGCCGGGCACGUUCAAUCGCUGCGGCGUCACCAAGGUACUGGGGCUGUUCAAGAAAAUUGAGAAAGAUUCACGCAAUAACCACCAUCAUCACCGUCUUCUUAAUACCAAGUCAUCUAGCCACAUCCUGAUGGGGGGCCGAACGGCGAUGGACGACGGCGACCACCCGACGGUGACGAUGCCCGACCUGAUGAUGCAGCAGCCGAUCGAGGCGGGUCAGGCCCGGAUGCGCAACACCAACUCGCUGCUGCCCUCGUUGUCGCGCAAAAAGCCGUACGGUGGGGCAAGAAGCGACACCGUGCUGGCGCACCAGCUCGACGGUCUGCUAGCGAACGGUGGUGACGCUCUGGACGGUGGAGGUGAUUUCGAGCAGCGUAAGUUUAAGGUGAUGCCACAGCCCGGUCCGCACCAGUCGCAGAUACCGGUCAAGUACGGCUGUCCCGGUUGCGAUGCGGUGGGCACUGGCGGCAACAGCAGCACCACCACCACCGCUACCACCGAUACCGGAGGCAGCAGCAGCAAUGGCAACAACAAUGGCGUCGCCAACGGAGCGCCAGAAGCGUGUCUGACGCACGCGCAAACCACCACCGCCGUCGGGACGGGUAGUAGUAGUGGCGCGUGCAGUGUGCACGUGCAGCGGCCUCCUCCACCGCAAGACACGGACCGGAGGGGCCGGGCCCGGGCGCUUACCAUCGACCUGGAGCAGGCCGUACACUCCGCGACGGAAAAGUUGAAGCGCCUGCAGCAGGCCAACAGCAUUCAUCUCAGUAACAUCCCGACACAGCAACCGCUACUACCCCAUGGUCACCAUAGUAACCACAACAACAACAACUACAUCAAAAACCCUAGCAAAACUAGCUUAAGCGCUUGCACUACUAAGAUCCCCUCCAGUCACACCAACCACACUGCAAACGGUAGCGUACACAACAACAACAACAACAACACUAGUAGCGGCAUGGCACAGGCGGCGGCACCUGCCGGUGGCAAUAACAACUACAGCUAUCCGCCCCCACUCCCCAGCGAAAUGGCGGCCGGGACGGCGGCCACCUCGCCGUGCGGGUAUAGCAACAACAUCAACAACAACAACAACAACAGCCUCUCCCAUCACUACAGCACACUGACACCGUCGUACGAUAGCAUUACCAACUACUCGUCUGGUUCGCGAAGUAGCCCGUACGACGACAACUCCUCCAGCACGUUCCUAUCGCCGUCGGAGGAGCGCGAACUGUACUUCGACAGCUGGUCGGUCUGCUCGGACGAGCUGAUGGGGCACGGCGACGGCACCGGGAUGGGUGGUGGUCACCCGCUCCAUUCCUCGUCCGUGUCGCCCGCGUCCCGGCGCCACUCCUCGGUGCGGCUACUUACCCCGAACCAACCGCUACUACACUCUGUCUCCUCCCCAGUAGAUCCGGACGCGGAGAGCGUCAUCGAGCGCAUCCGGCGCAAGAGCUUCUACACCCGGUUCAACGACACGAAGAAGCCGGCCAAGCGGGCCUCCGCCAGCAGUCUGGGGGGCGGGCUUGGCAGCGGUAGCAACCUUACGGCCGCCGGCCACGCCAAGGACAGCGCCAGCUACGGGUACUACGGGGCGGGCAGUGGCACUGCGGCGGUGCGCGAAAAGUCCCUGUCGCGCGGCGGCUCCUCCUCCUACAUUCUGAACCGCCCGGGCAAGGAGUCGGCGUCCUACGGUGUCGGUGUGGGUAAGUACGACACGGCAGGCUAUGCGACGGUCGGCCGUACCGACCAUCGGGGGUACGCGACGAUGGUGAACCUUGGCGUGAAGCCGAACCGAAGCGCGGCCCGGCUGCGCCAGAGCAGCCUGGACGUGGUGGCGGGCGACUAUCAACAGCACCAACAGCCAUCACACUACCACCAUCACCACCAUCACCACCACCACCAUCCCCAACAACAACAACAGUCUACGUUGGCGGGACUGUCCCGUACCGGGUCGCGGCUACUAACCACCGACGACGGUGAUUCCCUGACCGACGGUUUAACCUACACCAACCUACUGAACAACAACAACAACAGUAGCAACAACACUACCAGCAACCACAAAUACACACGCAACACCUACUACGAAAGUACGGCCGUGCCGUCGCCGUACGGAACGUACGCACCGAGACGUCGGUCCUCGUUUGUGGCCGCCGGGUACGGAUCGUCUAACAUCGCUUCAUCCUCUUCAUCGAUUGCGCUAGAUCUGCUCAAGGACCACCACCAGGGGCCCCGGGAUGGGUCGGCGAGCUACGGCAAUCUGGCCACGACUGGGUCGUCCUCCUCCACCAACACACUGUCCGCGUCGGAUAACUAUGGAAGCGGCGGCGGCGGCGGUGGCGGCGGAAGCAGCAACACCACCACCUCCACGGCAGCAUCCCGCACCAUCCGGCCGUACGAGACGAGAAGCAGCUCGCUGCUCACUCCGACGGCGCUGCGCGAUGCGGGACGUUACACCGGCCGGUACGAUAGUGGUACACUGACCAACCCAUCCCGCCAUCGUUCCACCCUCUAUCGAAGCUUCAUGAUGAGCCUGAAGCUUGCCUAAGGCCAGCCUCCGGCGCAGACCGUCUGCUGCCGCUGGCGCUUUCCUUCGUUUCCCUUCUUUUUCUCCUUCUGUUUUGCUGCCAUUGCUGGUCGCCCUAGAAACUAUCGCACACGGACCUCGUCAACGUCUAAAUCAACCGACAAUGCAUAAAGCGUAGUGGGAGGGAAUGGGUGAAAGGAUUCAAACAGUUGUCGCAACAGCAACACAUAUAUACCAAUUAGUGUAGAUCCUUCCUUAGCCAGGGUGGUGCCACUUUACUUCUCCAACGCUCCAAUGGAAUAUAUAUAAAUGGGUAUAUGUGUGUGUGUGUGAUCCUGGCUUGCAACCAAAAGAAGAAACCAAAAACCCAAACCAGCAAGAAAAAUAGCAAGCAGCGAUAAACUUUACUGGUUAUUUUAGAUGAACGUUAUAGACUAGAAACCAUUGCAUUUAGGCCAAAAAAACAUACACGCAUACGCGUUAGUGAAUUGUUACAGCAGAGAAUGCCAAACCCGCCAAAACCCGCCAAACGUUGAUCAAACACGAAUAGCGUUAUGUAAAAGGGCUACAAACUUCUUGUAAGAAGAAAGAUAGCGAGUGAAAAGGAGAGAAAAUGAGAGAGAGAAAGAGCAGUAAUAAUGUAACACCAUUUGAACCGGAGACUUUUAACGUGUAUAUUUAAACAAAUGGGUUUUUAUCCGAUCCUCAUGCUCCAUUUCACACCAAUUGUGUGUGCGUGUCUCCUUAUUGGGAGCAGUACAAUUCCGGUGAUCCGGAGCUUCCGUGGAGUAAGAAGGGCACUAAUGUUACCGUGACGGUAUCACCACUGACUCAACCCACCGGCAGACCAUCAGGGCUCAAGAGAAGAACCGAAGAAAAAACCGUGGAACACCAUGCGAUCACCAUGCGUCUCCAUGGAGCAUCGAUCAUGCCGCCACCGUUUCUUGCAUCUCUACGCUGUAUUAUUUUUUCGGUUUCCAUUUUCCGGGGGUCCAUCCUCACCUUUCGGGGGAAUUAAAGUGUAGCAAAUAACAACACAGUGAAGCAGAAAAUCCCGCUCGCGUUCGCUCACAGACUCUGCGCAUCACCGCCACGUGGUGUGGUGAUCAUCCUUUGCGUCACGAUCUGAGCCCGUCGCUUGGUCGGGAUUUUCUCUCACGCAUACACACACACUCUUACGGGAAGGAUUAUUGUUAUGAGCAGCUUCGUUAGUGCGGGUAAAAGAUCAGGGUAGACACGUGUACGAGACAGAAAGUCACAAGCAAUAGUCACACGGAACUGAGACGGGGAAAAAUCGAAGAGAGCUGUUAAAAAUGUGUGUGCCAUCGAAUCGAAUUUUAAGCAGCCGGGGCAAAGGGGGGGAAUCGGGAUACUCUCCCAAACUGUCGACCUCGGUUUGUUCGUUUUUUUUUUUUAUUUAAAUUAGCAAAUUAAUCAAAAUCGGAACACGCUUCAAGCAGGUGUUUACAAUAAAACCAGCACGGUGCGGGUAGCAAAGAGCGGGAAAAAAGCAUUGGGAAGAUACGGUGUGUACUGUUUGUGUGCUAGCAGAAACGUUGUUAUACACUAUUUUUACAAUUUUAUGUCAAUUGUAUUUAAAAAAACAAACAAAUCAAAACUAAACAAAGCGGUUACGACACGCUCAGAGCAGAGUGGCCGAGAGACUUAUCGACCCAGUGUUAUCUCCGAGGCGAACGGCAAUAAAACAGGCAAUGCAGGAUUGUACAGUUGAAGCAGACAGUUAACGAAUAAUCGGUUUGGCGGUUUGAAAGAAGAAGAAAAAAAACAUCACCGUGUUUAGUGUUGUUGCAGAAUGUACUGUGAUGUGAAGAAAGGGGCGAAUAAUUAUCAAGUUUUUGGAUGUUUGUUGUGCGCGGGACAGAUUUAUCAGUUUGAAUUCAGUCCGUUAUCAACACAACAGGAAAGGCAACGACAGAACGCGUGAUAGAGAACAAGGAAAGGGACGGAAAGGAACAGGGACAAGUUUUUAAAAACCAUCAACCAAACCAUUGGUAGCAAAAAACCAGUACGCGCGGUUAUUUUAGCAAAUCAUUGGAUGCCAAAACUAGACGGAGUAGAAACGAAUAAAAAAAAACCAACCAAACCCACAGCAAAGAAAACCAAACAAAAAACAAUCACCCCCAACAAAAACUAGCAAUAAUUGUUGCACCGUUACCCGCGGUGUGUGCAGGAACAGAACACGUGUAUCGAGAACGGGAUGGAAGCACCGUUGCCAUGACUGCGCUGCUGUCUUCCAGCUGUACUGUCGGGCGAUCAGGAAGAACCCCAUUUAGGGGAUUGGGGGUUUGGAAUGCGAUCGGGCCCCGGUGCAGCAGGAAGCCCCAAAUACCAUCGCGUAUGCCAUCUGGUAUGCCAUUAAAUAUUGGUAGCACAGUAUUGUGAGUUUAUCAAUAAACUAGAUUCAUGGAAUGAG